rnacentral:rRNA from 1 species
UUGACCUCGGAUCAGGUAGGGAUACCCGCUGAACUUAAGCAUAUCAAUAAGCGGAGGAAAAGAAACCAACCGGGAUUGCCUCAGUAACGGCGAGUGAAGCGGCAAGAGCUCAAAUUUGAAAUCUGGCCCCUCCGGGGUCCGAGUUGUAAUUUGCAGAGGAUGCUUCGGGUGCGGCCCCUGUCUAAGUGCCCUGGAACGGGCCGUCAGAGAGGGUGAGAAUCCCGUCUUGGGCAGAGUGCCCGUGCCCGUGUGAAGCUCCUUCGACGAGUCGAGUUGUUUGGGAAUGCAGCUCAAAAUGGGUGGUAAAUUUCAUCUAAAGCUAAAUACCGGCCGGAGACCGAUAGCGCACAAGUAGAGUGAUCGAAAGAUGAAAAGCACUUUGAAAAGAGAGUUAAACAGCACGUGAAAUUGUUGAAAGGGAAGCGCUUGCAACCAGACUCGGCCUCGGGGUUCAGCCAGCAUUCGUGCUGGUGUACUUCCCCGGGGCCGGGCCAGCGUCGGUUUGGGCGGCCGGUCAAAGGCCCCAGGAAUGUAUCGUCCUCCGGGACGUCUUAUAGCCUGGGGUGCAAUGCGGCCAGCCUGGACCGAGGAACGCGCUUCGGCACGGACG